rnacentral:tRNA from 1 species
GUCCCCAUAGUUCAACUUGGAUAGAACGAGAGGUUGCGGACCUUUUAAUCUGGGUUCAAAUCCCAGUGGGGACA